AAACUGAUUAUUCCUCAAAACCUAUUAUCAUGAAAUAUUUUUUUUCAUAGGUACACUAAUUUGUGUCAAACCAAUGCUUUAUAGACACUCAAGUGUUUUAUCCUGAAUGUCUAUUUUUCGUUUCUGAUCAAUUUUCAAGUUAUAACGUAUUUCAAACAUUCAAGAGACCAUUGAUAGUAUUUAAAGAGGAAAACUAAAAAAAAAAAAAAAACUCAGGCUUACAAAAAACUUUAAACCAUAUACCAUUGCUUAUUAAUUCACAAAAAGAGCUCAACACACUCUCACGAACAUUAGUAACUUCACUUUCCGGGGACAAAGUUUGUGGCAUACGACCAAGCGUUGUUGGCCACGGGGUCAGCAAGGUGGUCAGCCAAGUUCUCCAAUGGGGUCCACCAGCAAUUCUGUAACCCUCAACAGCACCCAUUAAGAUGACUUGUGUAGCCCAAAUGGCCAAGAUGCUCUGGGCAUGAAUCAAACUUGGGUUGCCCAAGUAGUCAAGCCCACCCUCGCUGAAGAUUUGGGCUCCAGCCUUGAACCAAACCGCCUCACCGAACUUAACACCGUUUCUGGCUAGAAGCUCAGGGAAUACACAUCCUAGAGCUCCAAGCAUAGCCCACCUGCAGUGAAUCACUUCAAGUUCACGGUUCUUAGCAAAGGUUUCAGGGUCUGCUGAAAGCCCAGCAGUGUCCCAACCGUAGUCACCAGGGAAUUCACCAGUAAGGUAGCUUGGGGCCUCACCAGAGAAUGGGCCUAAGUACUUGACACGGUCUGGGCCGUACCAUGGGCUUCCAGAUGCAACCUGCUUGACUGUAGCCUUCCUCAUGGAAACGCGACCGUUUCCAGAAAGCUCAGAACCCGAUGGAGCUGCUUUCACAGCCUGUCCGGCGAAAGCGGAUGAGAGAGCCAUGGUUGAGGCAGCCAUUGUUGAAUUUGGAGUGUUUGUUUGAGUUAU
rnacentral:lncRNA from 1 species